rnacentral:rRNA from 1 species
GAUGAACGCUGGCGGCGUGCCUAAUACAUGCAAGUCGAGCGAACAGAUAAGGAGCUUGCUCCUUUGACGUUAGCGGCGGACGGGUGAGUAACACGUGGAUAACCUACCUAUAAGACUGGGAUAACUUCGGGAAACCGGAGCUAAUACCGGAUAACAUAUUGAACCGCAUGGUUCAAUAGUGAAAGGCGGCUUUGCUGUCACUUAUAGAUGGAUCCGCGCCGUAUUAGCUAGUUGGUAAGGUAACGGCUUACCAAGGCAACGAUACGUAGCCGACCUGAGAGGGGGAGCGCCCAAACGGGAACGGAACAACGGUCCAGAUCCCAACGGAGGCCACCAUAGGGAAACUUCCGGAAAGGGCGAAAGCCUGACGGAGCAACGCCGCGUGAGUGAUGAAGGUCUUCGGAUCGUAAAACUCUGUUAUCAGGGAAGAACAAAUGUGUAAGUAACUGUGCACAUCUUGACGGUACCUGAUCAGAAAGCCACGGCUAACUACGUG